UACGUAGGGCGCAAGCGUUAUCCGGAAUUAUUGGGCGUAAAGAGCUCGUAGGUGGUUUGUCGCGUUGUCCGUGAAAACUCACAACUCAAUUGUGGGCGUGCGGGCGAUACGGGCAGACUGGAGUACUGCAGGGGAGACUGGAAUUCCUGGUGUAGCGGUGGAAUGCGCAGAUAUCAGGAGGAACACCGGUGACGAAGGCGGGUCUCUGGGCAGUAACUGACGCUGAGGAGCGAAAGCGUGGGGAGCGAACAGG
rnacentral:rRNA from 1 species